UACAGAGGGUGCGAGCGUUGUCCGGAAUCACUGGGCGUAAGGGCGCGUAGGUGGCCCGACAAGUCAGGGGUGAAAGUUCGACGCUUAACGUCGAAUCGGCCACUGAUACUGUUGGGCUGGAGCACUGUAGAGGCUCAUGGAAUUCCGGGUGUAGCGGUGGAAUGCGUAGAGAUCCGGAAGAACACCGGUGGCGAAGGCGGUGAGCUGGGCAGUUGCUGACACUGAGGCGCGACAGCGUGGGGAGCAAACAGG
rnacentral:rRNA from 1 species